rnacentral:misc_RNA from 1 species
ACUCCAACACAGAAAUCUUGUCAGGCUUUUUGGCUGUUGCAUUCAUAAUGAAGAUAAGAUGUUGAUAUAUGAAUAUUUACCGAAUAAAAGCUUGGACUAUUUCAUCUUUGGUAUGGUUAUGCAAUUUUAUUUUCAUUCACCCAUCUUUAAUUUAUACUUCUUUCCCCAUGUCCUAUCAUUUGAAGGAUCUCCAAAACUCUCAUUGAUAACAGAUAAGAGGAGGAAGCAACUAUUGAACUGGAUCAAGCGUUUUAAAAUUAUUUUAGGGAUAGCUCAAGGAGUCUUAUAUUUGCAUCGAGAUUCAAGACUAAAAAUCAUCCA